rnacentral:rRNA from 1 species
UAGGGAAUCUUCGGCAAUGGACGAAAGUCUGACCGAGCAACUCCGCGUGAGUGAAGAAGGUUUUCUGAUCGUAAAACUCUGUUGUUAGAGAAGAACAAGGACGUUAGUAACUGAACGUCCCCUGACGGUAUCUAACCAGAAAGCCACGGCUAACUACCUGCCAGCAGCCGCGGUAAUACGUAGGUGGCAAGCGUUGUCCGGAUUUAUUGGGCGUAAAGCGAGCGCAGGCGGUUUCUUAAGUCUGAUGUGAAAGCGCCCGGCUAAACAGGGGAGGGUCAUUGGAAACUGGGAGAAUGGGGUGCAGAAGAGGAGAGUGGAAUUCCAUGUGUAGAGGUGAAAUGCGUAGAUAUAGGGAGGAAAAAGAGUGGCGAAGGCGGCUCUCUGGUCUGUAACUGACGCGGAGGCUAGAAAGCGGGGGGAGCAAACAGG